GACGAACGCUGGCGGCGUGCUUAACACAUGCAAGUCGAACGGAAAGGCCCUGCUUUUGUGGGGUGCUCGAGUGGCGAACGGGUGAGUAACACGUGAGUAACCUGCCCUUGACUUUGGGAUAACUUCAGGAAACUGGGGCUAAUACCGGAUAGGAGCUCCUGCUGCAUGGUGGGGGUUGGAAAGUUUCGGCGGUUGGGGAUGGACUCGCGGGUUAUCAGCUUGUUGGUGGGGUAGUGGCUUACCAAGGCUUUGACGGGUAGCCGGCCUGAGAGGGUGACCGGCCACAUUGGGACUGAGAUACGGCCCAGACGCCUACGGGAGGCAGCAGUGGGAAAUAUUGCACAAUGGGCGGAAGCCUGAUGCAGCAACGCCGCGUGCGGGAUGACGGCCUUCGGGUUGUAAACCGCUUUCGCCUGUGACGAAGCGUGAGUGACGGUAAUGGGUAAAGAAGCACCGGCUAACUACGUG
rnacentral:rRNA from 1 species